ensembl:lncRNA
GCAUCUAAAAGCUGCGGGAUUGUAGCUCUCGAGGACUGGGAUUGGGCACCCCUGCUUUAGACUCUUGAACAAAAGGCAGAAAAGAUCAUUGGGUUUGCAUCAGAGUAGCUGGUGGUGGAGAGCCAUGCGGUGUCUAAAUUGUAUGGCUGGAGUCUAUCACACCUGUCACAGGGUAAGAGGCAGGGUACACCUGGGACAAGUUGCCAGCUCACAACAGCUUUAAUAUAUAUCUGUUUAAUCUGGAUAUUGGCAAAAGCACUACAAAAGAAACCUUCAUCUGUGCAGCUACCUCUCUCAGCAUCCCAGCAGAGGAGACAUAGUUGCUGCAUUGGAAUGAAGACUUCUAUUUGACAUUGAUGCACCUUUGUGGUAUUAUAUGCAAAUUGACUGGGAUAAAGGCGGAGGCUGUUUGAUGUGCAAAUGAUGAAUUUGGGGCACUGAAAAUGUGCAUACCACUGCUUUUCUGUUAAUUGCCUUCCCCGUGGAGUCCUGAAAGUUUAUUAGAAAAAGAAUGAAUGUUAGCAUACAGAGAACAGUUUUUGGAUAUCACACUUUAAACCAGUGAAGGAUGUAGUUUAUUCAAAAUCACAACUCUGAAUAAAAUCAUAUGCUGUAAUUUCAGAGUUUUCCUUUUUUUUUUUUUUUUUUGUCAACCAGAGUCCAUGUCUUACAG